CCUACGGGCGGCAGCAGUGGGGAAUAUUGGACAAUGGGGGGAACCCUGAUCCAGCCAUGCCGCGUGUGUGAAGAAGGCCCUCGGGUUGUAAAGCACUUUCAGUGAGGAAGAACGCCUGGUGGUUAAUACCCAUCAGGAAAGACAUCACUCACAGAAGAAGCACCGGCUAACUCCGUGCCAGCAGCCGCGGUAAUACGGAGGGUGCGAGCGUUAAUCGGAAUUACUGGGCGUAAAGCGCGCGUAGGUGGCUUGAUAAGCCGGUUGUGAAAGCCCCGGGCUCAACCUGGGAACGGCAUCCGGAACUGUCAAGCUAGAGUGCAGGAGAGGAAGGUAGAAUUCUCGGUGUAGCGGUGAAAUGCGUAGAGAUCGGGAGGAAUACCAGUGGCGAAGGCGGCCUUCUGGACUGACACUGACACUGAGGUGCGAAAGCGUGGGUAGCAAACAGGAUUAGAUACCCUUGUAGUC
rnacentral:rRNA from 1 species